rnacentral:rRNA from 1 species
GGUAUGCGUUGGUCCGGGGGCGGGGGAGAUACGGAGGGUGGUAUGGUUUAUCGGAUUUACUUGGCGUAUGGCGUGCGUAGGUGGUGGUUUAAGUCUGCUGUGAAAGCCCUGGGCUCAACCUCGGAAUUUCAGUGGAUACUGGAUCACUAGAGUGUGGUAGAGGGAUGCGGAAUUUCUGGUGUAGCAGUGAAAUGCGUAGAGAUCAGAAGGAACAGCCGUGGCGAAGGCGGCAUCCUGGGCCAACACUGACACUGAGGCACGAAAGCGUGGGGAGCAAACAGGAUUAGAACCCCGGUAGUC